rnacentral:rRNA from 1 species
GACAGAGGAGGCAAGCGUUGUCCGGACUUACUGGGCGUAAAGCGUCCGCAGGUGGUCGUGCAAGUGCGCUGUGAAAGCGCUCGGCUUAACUGAGCGAGGCCAGUGCAGACUGCUCAACUCGAGGCCGGGGAGAGGUCGGUGGAAUUGCCGGUGUAGUGGUGAAAUGCGUAGAGAUCGGCAGGGAACACCCCAAGGGGAAGCCAGCUGGACU